CCUACGGGUGGCAGCAGUGAGGAAUAUUGGUCAAUGGGCGGAAGCCUGAACCAGCCAAGUCGCGUGAGGGAAUAAGGCCCUACGGGUCGUAAACCUCUUUUGCCGGGGAGCAAGGGCGGGGACGUGUCCCGGCCCGGAGAGUACCCGGAGAAAAAGCAUCGGCUAACUCCGUGCCAGCAGCCGCGGUAAUACGGAGGAUGCGAGCGUUAUACGGAUGUAUUGGGUUUAAAGGGUGCGUAGGCGGGCUUUUAAGUCAGCGGUAAAAUCGAGAGGCUCAACCUCUUUCCGCCGUUGAAACUGUCGGUCUUGAGUGGGCGAGAAGUAUGCGGAAUGCGUGGUGUAGCGGUGAAAUGCAUAGAUAUCACGCAGAACUCCGAUUGCGAAGGCAGCAUACCGGCGCCCGACUGACGCUGAGGCACGAAAGCGUGGGUAUCGAACAGGAUUAGAUACCCCUGUAGUC
rnacentral:rRNA from 1 species